CGCACAUUGCGCCCGCCAGUAUUCUGGCGGGCAUGCCUGUCUGAGCGUCAUUUCAACCCUCAAGCAACCUCCUGCUUGGUGUUGGGGACCGGCCGUCAAACGCCGCCCCCUAAAUCUAUUGGCGAUCUCGCUGUAGCUUCCUAUGCGUAGUAGUAACAUCUCGCAUCUGGAGAGCGGCGCGGUCACGCCGUAAAACACCCAACUUACUCAGGUUGACCUCAGAUCAGGUAGGAAUACCCGCUGAACUUAA
rnacentral:misc_RNA from 1 species